UCGGGAAUUUUGGGCAAUGGGCGAAAGCCUGACCCAGCAACGCCGCGUGAAGGAUGAAGUAUUUCGGUAUGUAAACUUCGAAAGAAUAGGAAGAAUAAAUGACGGUACAUUUAUAAGGUCCGGCUAACUACGUGCCAGCAGCCGCGGUAAUACGUAGGGACCAAGCGUUGUUCGGAUUUACUGGGCGUAAAGGGCGCGUAGGCGGCAAUUCAAGUCAUCUGUGAAAUCUCCGGGCUUAACUCGGAACGGUCAGAUGAUACUGCUUUGCUAGAGUGCAGAAGGGGCAAUCGGAAUUCUUGGUGUAGCGGUGAAAUGCGUAGAUAUCAAGAGGAACACCUGAGGUGAAGACGGGUUGCUGGGCUGACACUGACGCUGAGAUGCGAAAG
rnacentral:rRNA from 1 species